CUGGCUGAGGAACACCGUGGAGGCUGGCAGAACACACACCACUAGAAGAAGGCCCAGGCCAAGCAUCAUGACAAGAUGGUUAUGAUAAGGAAACUGUGAAUUACUCCACCACACCUCAGAAUGCUCCAACCUAACAGCUUCACUAAGAUGUUUACAGAGACAGAAGUUGCAUUAUGAAAACUGUAUCUAAAAAGUCUCAAGAAAUGGGGCUCUGCAGUUUUUUCCCCUAUGGGCCAGAGUCUGUUCCUUCCUUGGUGUUGCCCCACAGUCAUUCCAUCCCUUUUCAGAGGACAUCAGUACAUCCUGCUAAUGUUUUACAUGCAUGCAGACAGCAUGGAUGGGUGAAUUAAUUUCAUCACUUGAUCAGGCAUUCAUGGAAGUAGAAGACCAGAAGGACCUUUUUACCUUAAGG